UCCCGUUUAGCUCAGUUGGUAGAGCGCGUCACUAGUAUCUGACUUCACUCAGCGUGCGUCAGGGCAAUGACGAGGUCAGUCGUUCGAGUCGGCUAAUGGGAA